UUAAGUUAUUUGUUUUGUCUUGGUUUAGACGUGCUAAGCAGGAUGUCAUCGGAUGACUUAUUUGUUUUCUCUAAGUGAAGUUGUACAGUUAUAACAAUGACUUGGUCGGCUAGACCGUACAACAGCAACCCCAGAGCAAGGUCCCCUCUAAAGUCCUCUCACUGUAAGUCAAGUCACAAGAAACGCACGACUCCAGAACCGGACAACUUUACUAUAAAAGAUGACGACAUCGUGGUCAGAAUUGAGGAGGCGAUACAGAAGACUGCUGACGAUUUGUCACCCAACUCUGGGUAUUGUACCAAGGAAGAGCUCCGCAAGAUCAUCAAGAAAAGGCUA